rnacentral:rRNA from 1 species
UAAGCUUGACAUCCUUUUGACCGAUGCCUAAUCGCAUCUUUCCCUUCGGGGACAGAAGUGACAGGUGGUGCAUGGUUGUCGUCAGCUCGUGUCGUGAGAUGUUGGGUUAAGUCCCGCAACGAGCGCAACCCUUGCCUUUAGUUGCCAGCAUUAAGUUGGGCACUCUAGAGGGACUGCCAGGGAUAACCUGGAGGAAGGUGGGGAUGACGUCAAAUCAUCAUGCCCCUUAUGCUUAGGGCUACACACGUGCUACAAUGGGUGGUACAGAGGGCAGCCAAGUCGUGAGGCCGAGCUAAUCCCUUAAAGCCAUUCUCAGUUCGGAUUGUAGGCUGAAACUCGCCUACAUGAAGCUGGAGUUACUAGUAAUCGCAGAUCAGAAUGCUGCGGUGAAUGCGUUCCCGGGUC